rnacentral:rRNA from 1 species
UACGGGGGGUGCGAGCGUUGUCCGGAAUCACUGGGCGUAAAGGGCGCGUAGGCGGGAUGGCAAGUCGGUCGUGAAAUCCCUCGGCUCAACCGAGGAACGUCGAUCGAUACUGCUGUUCUUGAGGAUUGCAGAGGAGACUGGAAUUCCCGGUGUAGCGGUGAAAUGUGUAGAGAUCGGGAGGAACACCGGUGGCGAAGGCGGGUCUCUGGGCAAUUCCUGACGCUGAGGCGCGAAAGCGUGGGGAGCAAACGGG